AUGGCUUCAGGGCUAUGUGAGUUGUUAUGGCUUCGAUUAUUAUUAACUGAACUUCGGUUGUUUAAAGGAGGACCACUCAGGCUCCAUUGUGAUAAUCAAGCCGCAAUCAACAUUGUCAACAAUCCGGUUCAGCAUGAUAGAACAAAACAUAUCGAAAUUGAUAGACAUUUUAUUAAGGAGAAACUUGAUGAGGGAGUACUUCAAGUAGGUUUUGUUAAAACUGGAGACCAACUUGCUGAUGUAUUAACAAAGGGCGUGAGUGUUGUAUCCUUCUUUAAGUUGUGUGGCAAGAUGGGGCUCUUAGACAUUUUCACCCCAUCUUGA
rnacentral:rRNA from 1 species